ACGGAAGGCAGCAGUGGGGAAUAUUGCACAAUGGGGGAAACCCUGAUGCAGCGACGCCGCGUGAGUGAAGAAGUAUUUCGGUAUGUAAAGCUCUAUCAGCAGGGAAGAAAAUGACGGUACCUGACUAAGAAGCCCCGGCUAACUACGUGCCAGCAGCCGCGGUAAUACGUAGGGGGCAAGCGUUAUCCGGAUUUAUUGGGUUUAAAGGGUGCGUAGGCUGUUCGUCAAGUCAGCGGUGAAAUGCCGGGGCUCAACCCCGGAGCUGCCGUUGAUACUGUCGGGCUUGAAUACUGUUGCCGUGGGAGGAAUGAGUAGUGUAGCGGUGAAAUGCAUAGAUAUUACUCAGAACACCGAUUGCGAAGGCAUCUCACGAAGCAGCGAUUGACGCUGAGGCACGAAAGCGUGGGGAUCAAACAGGAUUAGAUACCCUGGUA
rnacentral:rRNA from 1 species